AUGGAGAAGAGGUGGAUUUUUCCGAAGCAAACGCAGACAUCCAGGGACUUUCAACAGGGGCUGCCACACAAAAAGGAAAAGGGAAAGGGGGUGGUGGUGGCGGUGGAAGAGGAGUGCGCCGCAGCGCAGGAGGAGAAUGACGGCUAUCAUAUCAUCAGCAGUGCGCCGCAUUUACUGCACUUUGUCAUGUUUUGUAAGGGGAACAGCAAGGGAAGAGUUUGUAUUUCUCUCUCUCUGAAUCCUCUGUUUCUUCCAAAACAGAAAAACAGUAAGAAAGAAAUUGGUCUGAGACUUCUCCUUCCAACACAAUCCUCUGUUUAUUGUGUUGGUAGUAGUAGACUAGUUUACUCGCUGCCCGUGGAAAGGCUUGACUUGCUGUCAAAGAGGGAUCCCUUCCUUGAUGAACAAUCAAUGUUUGGCUCCAUCACUCCCCUCUUCUAUAUGACAUAUGUCCAAAAACCAUAUUGA
rnacentral:rRNA from 1 species